UGUACAUUAGCAUGAAACUUACACUGCAGUUUGCGUUUUUGGUGAAUAACCAGGUGUUUUCUUUAUUUUGUACAUUCUAUAUUGUCAAUGUUUAAUUUAACCUGAAGGGGCAUUAAAAAAAAAUAAUCGCAAAAGUGCCCUCUGGUGGCGUAUAUAUGCGUUGCACCAUACGCGAAGAUGAGCCUCGAGACGUGACAGUUUUUUUUUCAAACUGAGGAGUUCGGACUCCGGACCGGCAUUUCUGCUUGUUGGUACCCUGAGGUAAGUAAACUUUAUACAUUUUUGAAACGAUAUUACUUAAAUAUUUAGUAUAAUUAGUUAAUAUUUAUUUUGUUAGAGUAGGUCUUGUGCUAAAUAGUGAUACUAGAAGUUACAUUAAUAAUAUUUACCUUUGUUAAAAAAUACUGCUGGUAACGUUAAAGCACUGACAGGCUUCCUCAACCGUCAGUUAUAAAAGCUCUUUUAAAUACAUUUUGUUCCGGGUUUUAAUGAAUUACGUUACAGUCCUGCUUUAUUUCUUUGUCAUUUUAAAUUAAAUUGCCAAUCACAAUAAGACAGCUGUGUUGUAAGGAGACGAAAUUCGAGACAGGAGUGUAAUUUCAAUGAAGCGCGUGGUCAAGGGAACCGGGUGGAAGACGGUGGAAGGGAAAUUAUAUGUAAAUGUUUGUCGCAGUUUUGCACAUAUUCCGUGAGUAUUUUUCGCUUGUUCACGAGUGUUUUAUCAGGGUUGGAGCUAAACUCUGAAGGAAAGUGGAAACUGCUGGCCACAGUUGAGAACUUUCUGCCGGUCUGUAUUAUAAAUGCACGAUUGCAGUGCAGCGUUCGUAUCCGCAACAAGUCUAGAUAUGCAUGUUUUCUGUGAUGCACACAAUGAAUUAAUGUGAUGGUAGCUGUUAAGACACUUACAUUUAACAUUCAAAUGUUUUAAAAACCAAACGUGUUCAGGUUUUUAUGCGUAUUUGGUUUGUGAAGUGUAAUUUAUGCUUUUUUCCUUCCCCUCACAGAUAACCAUGGUUAAUAAAUGGUCAGUAGAUGACAUGUCACUGGCUUUAAAAUAUAAACCCCAUUGAUGCAAAAAGAUGCUGCAUGGAAUGACAAUGAGGUUUGGAACAGACUUGGUGAAGAACAUGGAAACAUCUCUAAAUAAAAUGGCCCCAAACAUCAUCAGAAGUGCAAAAGAAGGAAGUCUGGUGAGGAAUGCUGCACUUAUGUUAUUGCAAGCAUUAUUUCAAGAAAAUCCCAGCUUCCUUUACUGUGUAAAUAGUGAACCCAAAGGUCCCGUACCAACCAUAGUGUUCAACGGCUCUCCUGAUCUUCUCAAAUCUGAAAGUAUCAACUUUAUAAUGGACAAUGUGAACAUAAUAUGUGGAAGACAUUGACAUCACAGGCUGUGGAAUAACUGUUUGCGGGUUUUUUUUCCUCCUCAAUGUUCAAUACCCUUUUGCCAUUAAGCACACAGUGACUUUUAUUUAUAAAAUAUAUGCUUAAAUUUAAAUACCUGUACAAAACAAAUGUACAAUCAACUUGUGUUAAUUGUCAUUCUAUUUAAUAGAUUGUUCAUGAAUUGUCUUUAAAUUUUUUUAUUUUUAUUUACUUUUUUAUUUGACAGGGACCAUACAAGCAAACAUAGUUAUAGUUCAAAGCCUGUAACUGAUGCGCUGCAUAUAGAGUUUAUAGCUAUUGCUAAUUCUCAACUCCUGUCCCUGGUUGGGCAUUUCUAAGAACAUUUUAAAACAGAUAACAUUUCUUCAACACACAUACACAAACACACACAAAAAAACCCCAAAAUAAAUUAAAAAGAGAUACAAAUUUGGUUUGCCUUUAGCCACAACUUAACCCUUAAAAUAAAUUUAUUCAAGUCAGAAAUUGCCUUAAUAAAUGCAUUGUGAUUUAUUUUCAUCAUUUCAGACACAUGUGAAAGUUACUAAAAAUUAAUACUGCAUAUACUGUACAGUAUCUUUGUUCAUAAAAACUGAAAAUGCGUUAAGGGAAAUAACUUGAACAAAAAUUUUAAAUGUAUAGUGUAAUUAAGAGUUUAGCUGUUUAAUACAGAGAUGCAAUUUUAAUAUAUAUAUAUAUAUAUAUAAACGUAUGUAUGUAUGUUUAAAUAACUAAAUGGUUGAAUGUAAUGAGACAUUUUAAAUGUAAACUAAAGUUUUU